CAAAAACGAAAGCAAGCAAUAAGGAUGUCAAAUAAACGAAACUAGAGACAGUGUUAAAGUCAGAGGAGGCGACUCGUCCCGUCUUGACACAGCCGCUCCGGCCAUGAGACGCAAGCCAGCAAGCUACCAAACAAAAAGUUGAAACUGCGGGCUACAUAAAGCACAUCCUUUGGAGACGUUCAGUUCAGAUAGAAAAUGGAGAACCCAAACAGAGGGGAAAGGGCAAGACCAAGAGCAAGACCAAAUGCUGGGCAAAGAGGAGAGCUUGGAAAUAGACAGGCCAAUGGUGCACCUAAUUGGGAAAGACGAGGCGGUGGAGGUGGAGGAGCUGGGAGAGGGGGAGGACGUGGCA